ACGCGUACGUAGAUAUAGAUAUUCUUCCAUGAUGCAAAAGAGAUGCAUUCCUUCUUCGUUCUUCGUCCAUCGUCGAUCGUAUGGUGUGAGCUAGCUAGUAUGUGUAUGUGGUACGGCCGGCGCGUCGUGUAGCUUGCUCUGGUUCUGGAGCGGUACUCGUCGCUGCUCAAUGAAGUUCGAGUCGACCUCGAGAUGGUGGUGCCGGAGCGGAAGCAGUUCAGUGACCGCGAGUUCCGGCGGUGCCUGGACGCGUAGGGGCUGCGGUAGGUGGCGGCGCCGCCGCGGCGGUGGAACAGGCUCGACCGGAGGCUGUGGCCCUAGGUGGGGUGCUUCGCGAGGUUGGAGGCCGCCCAGUACGCCCACGAGUGGUGGUGGCCCCAUAAGAGGUAACAGGUUCCGUUUCCGUCGUUGCUGGUGCGGCCACUACCGCGACGCAUAAUGUUCGAGUGCGCCCAGAGGGCCGAGGAACAGCUCUCUAGUGGCGUGUUGGACAGGGGCUACCACCCGUGGUAGCAGUUGUGCAAUACGACCUGGAGAGAGGAGUUUUACGGGCUCACCAAAUGGGUUCCGGUUCUCCCUCUCAGCCGUGUCAGCGUGAGCGAGCAGGUCGACCGGUUGCCGACGUGCAAGACCCUGUGGUGGUUCCAGCUACCGCCGAACAAGUUGCUGCCGUACCGGCGCCUGUCGGCGUAGCGGUACUUCCAGGACAACUUCCUCGUGCCGCCUCGCAAGUCCCUUCACUUUUCGAGCGACCACCUGUAGCCGCCGUUGGUACCGCGGUGGCGCAGCCGGCACCGCUCUCGCAAGGGCGUGGAGUUCACGUCGCAAGACCUGGAGGGUGUGCAGCAGCGGCGCCGAGGGCGGUCGCUGUAAAACUGGAAGCAGCGGCCUUUAUACAAACUCAUACAGGGUGGACGCCUACGACAAGAUGAGUUCACCUAAAACGUACUGACCUUUGUGCUUCUGACGCAGUUCUAUUACGCGGCCACGUUCCUUCGCUAGGGUCGCUUUCUUCGGCCUCCUUUCCACUAUUAGUAGCUGUACCACCACCCUAUAGGCCACUGAGUCGGGUUGGUAAGGUUUCUCCGCGUCCAAAACAAUCUAUAGAUGUACUACCCGAGGCUACCUUACCUCGCUCUCCUUUUGCUCACCUCGAACUAAAAGAGGCUUCGGCCCAAGUCGCUGAUGUUCUAGUGAGCUUGGUUACCCUAAGCUAGUUAAUAGCUUCAUAUGGGAAUUUACAUGAAUGAAGGUGAAGCCUCUAUGAUAGAGGAAGGCAGGCAUGCACAAAUAAUCAGAACGUGCACAUUAAUUGAACCAUUUAAUCGUCGGUUCUAUGUGCACGUUCUGAAUAUUUGACCUUUCCUUCCUCAGCAGUAAACUAAACAUUAUUUAGAGUGGUCCUUGAGAGACAUAAUAACGUAAAUUCAAAAUGAAAAACAAAUAUCUAAAAAGUUUAAACGAAGAGAAAUCAAAUAAAGUAAAAAAGGUGAGUCACAUGGUUAGGAUACUUUAG
rnacentral:rRNA from 1 species